AGAUUGAACGCUGGCGGCAGGCCUAACACAUGCAGGUCGAGCGGCAGCACGGGUACUUGUACCUGGUGGCGAGCGGCGGACGGGUGAGUAAUGCCUAGGAAUCUGCCUGAUAGUGGGGGAUAACGUUCGGAAACGGACGCUAAUACCGCAUACGUCCUACGGGAGAAAGUGGGGGAUCUUCGGACCUCACGCCAUCAGAUGAGCCUAGGUCGGAUUAGCUAGUUGGUAGGGUAAAGGCCUACCAAGGCUACGAUCCGUAACUGGUCUGAGAGGAUGAUCAGUCACACUGGAACUGAGACACGGUCCAGACUCCUACGGGAGCAGCAGUGGGAAUAGUUGGACAAGUGGGA
rnacentral:rRNA from 1 species